rnacentral:rRNA from 1 species
CCUAGGGGGGCUGCAGUGGGGAAUAUUGGACAAUGGGCGAAAGCCUGAUCCAGCCAUGCCGCGUGUGUGAAGAAGGCCUUCGGGUUGUAAAGCACUUUCAGUGGGGAAGAAAGCCUUGGGGCUAAUACCCUCGAGGAAGGACAUCACCCACAGAAGAAGCACCGGCUAACUCCGUGCCAGCAGCCGCAGGUAAUACGGAGGGUGCGAGCGUUAAUCGGAAUUACUGGGCGUAAAGCGCGCGUAGGCGGUCUGAUAAGCCGGUUGUGAAAGCCCCGGGCUCAACCUGGGAACGGCAUCCGGAACUGUCAGGCUAGAGUGCAGGAGAGGAAGGUAGAAUUCCCGGUGUAGCGGUGAAAUGCGUAGAGAUCGGGAGGAAUACCAGUGGCGAAGGCGGCCUUCUGGACUGACACUGACGCUGAGGUGCGAAAGCGUGGGUAGCAAACAGGAUUAGAUACCCUAGUAGUC